rnacentral:lncRNA from 1 species
AUGAGGCGCGGCAUGGGGGUGGAGGAGAGGUGGGCUGCAGGGGCUGGCGGCAGGUUUGGCAGCCGCCAGACGGAGGGGCUGUGGUGGUGUCGCCUGCUAGCAAGGAGCAGCCAAGACCGUCUCCCGCGUUGGCACCCUCGGAUUUGGCUCGGGCACCCCGAGGCCGCCCGGGCGCGCGGACGGCGGGAGCCGGGCAAGGACAGGCGGAGCCCGGCCCCGGGGCGAGACCGCGCGCCUGUGCCCGCCGCCAGGGGGCAUAGUGCCCGGGUCCGCGCCUUCUCCCGGCGGGUCCUCUCCACGAGCCAGGGCUCCGCGGAGCGCACGCCUUCCCCGCCCGGGACCGCUCCCGAGCGCGGCGAGCAGGGGCGCGGCCGCGGGCCCCGCGGCGGGAGGCGGUCCGCGCGCGGGAGGGCGGGAGGGGGCAGGCGCGGGGGUUCCGGGGACGCGCAGCGCCGCCCCCGCCUCCCCUUCAGAAGCGGCGGAGCCGGGGAGCAUGGACCAGACGCCGCGGCUCCGGGCACCAUGACACUCCCCCACUUCGCGGUGGCUCUGAUUCUCGGGGCGCUCCCCGGAGUGGUCAGCCUUGAUUCGGUCCUCGGUUAUCCCCUCCACCACCGCCAUCACCAUGCGCCCUCUCGGGGUCCCCGGGACCCUUAUUACCUUACCACCCAGCGGCGGCCACAGAAGACGCCGCCGCCCCCGCUCCCGCGCACCCCGCACCCCCCGCCGGCGCUCCGCGCCUCGCGCGCGCACGGCCUCCGCGCGCCCCGGCCGCCUCCCGGGGGCUGCCCCGCCGGCGCGCCCGGGGCCAACGCGACGGACUCCGGCGCCCCUUGUCUGCGCUGGGCAGACGUGCCGCCGUUCCUCGCGCGGCCGCCGCCGGCGGGCUGGGCGCAGCUGCGAGGGCAGCGCCACAACUUCUGCCGGAGUCCGGACGGCGCGGGCAGACCCUGGUGCUUCUACGGGGACGCCGGCGGCAAGGCGGACUGGGGCUACUGCGACUGCAGACGCGGCCCUGCAUUCCCCAUCCUGCGCCUUGUUGGGGGGAGCAGUGUGCGUGAGGGCCGAGUGGAGGUCUACCAUGCCGGUCAGUGGGGGACAGUCUGUGACGACCAGUGGGAUGAUGCGGAUGCGGAAGUGGUCUGCAGGCAGCUGGGUCUGAGUGGCAUUGCCAAAGCAUGGAAUCAGGCGUAUUUUGGGGAAGGGUCUGGCCCGGUAAUGUUGGAUGAGGUACGCUGCACCGGGAAUGAGCUUUCUAUUGAGCAGUGUCCGAAGAGUUCCUGGGGAGAGCAUAACUGUGACCAUAAAGAAGAUGCUGGAGUGUCCUGUACCCCUCUAACAGAUGGCGUCAUCAGACUUGCAGGUGGUGAAGGCGCCCACGAGGGUCGCCUGGAGGUGUAUCACAGGGGACAGUGGGGAACUGUCUGUGAUGACGGCUGGACUGAUCUUAACACCUAUGUGGUUUGCCGGCAGCUGGGAUUUAAAUAUGGCAAACAAGCCUCUGCAAACCACUUUGAAGAGAGCAUGGGACCCAUAUGGCUGGAAGGCAUCAGUUGCUCAGGAAAGGAAGCCAGUUUCCUUCAGUGUUCGCGGGGACCCUGGGGAAGGCAUGACUGCAGCCAUCGGGAAGAUGUUGGCAUCUCCUGCUACCCCGGUGGAAACGGAUUCAGAGUCUCCCUGGGUUUUCCAAUCAGACUGAUGGAUGGAGAAAAUGAGAAGGAAGGACGAGUGGAGGUUUUUCUCAACGGCCAGUGGGGAACAGUUUGUGAUGAUGGGUGGACUGAUGAGGAUGCCACUGUGAUCUGUCGACAGCUUGGCUACAAGGGUCCAGCCAGAGCAAGGAGCAUGGCGUAUUUUGGGGAAGGGGAGGGACCCAUCCAUAUGGAUAACGUGAAGUGCACAGGAAAUGAACGGUCCCUGGCCGACUGUGUCAGACAAGACAUCGGAGACCAUGACUGCCGCCACAGUGAAGACGCAGGAGUUAUUUGUGAUUAUCUUGGGAAAAAAGCAUCAGGAAACAGUAAUAAAGAGUCCCUCUCAUCUGUUUGUGGUUUGAGAUUAUUGCCCCGUCGGCAGAAGCGGAUCAUUGGUGGGAAGAAUUCUUUAAGGGGUGGUUGGCCUUGGCAAGUAUCCCUCCGGCUGAAGUCAUCCCAUGGAAAUGGUAGGCUCCUUUGUGGGGCCACGCUCCUGAGUAGCUGCUGGGUCCUUACAGCAGCACACUGCUUCAAGAGGUACGGUAACAGUACUAGGAACUACGUGGUUCGGGUUGGGGAUUAUCAUACGCUGGUGCCGGAGGAGUUCGAAGAAGAGAUCAGAGUUGAGGAGAUCGUAACCCACCGGCUGUACCGCCCGCACAGCAAUGACUAUGACAUCGCCCUGGUUAGGUUACAAGGACCAGAGGAGCAGUGUGCCAGACUCAGCAGCCAUAUUCUGCCGGCCUGCUUGCCACGCUGGAAAGAGAGGCCACAGAAGAGAGCCCACAACUGCUAUGUAACAGGAUGGGGAGACACAGGACCAGCCUACUCAAGAACUCUACAACAAGCAGCCAUCCCCUUACUUCCCAAGAGGUUUUGUGAACAUCGUUAUAAGGGUCUGUUUACACGAAGGAUGCUCUGUGCUGGAAACCUCCAUGAACACAAACGUGUGGACAGUUGCCAAGGAGACAGCGGAGGACCACUCGUGUGUGAACGACCGGGAGAGCGCUGGGUUGUGUAUGGGGUGACCUCCUGGGGAUACGGCUGUGGAGCCAAGGAUUCCCCUGGUGUUUAUACCAAAGUCUCAGCCUUUGUACCUUGGAUAAAAAGGGUCACCAAACUGUAAUCCUUCAUGGAAAUGUCAAGAAGAUAGUAUUUAAAGAAUAUGUUGGAAAAUUUCCAACAUUGGCAUUUAGCCAGAGAUGCCAACUAAUGGGAGGGGAGAUCUUUUUGUGUUCUGUGUUGAUGAAAGUGAUGUACCUCUUUGCUGCUGGAGAAUGAUGUGAUCAUUCUGGUUACAGAUACCUCAGUGUAGUAAUGACUAUUCUUAUUUAGCACUGUUGCCUACCCAAAUUAGUUUUACAGGAGACUACAUUCAUUAUUCUGUCUUGUCUCAAUUUCUCAGCAUUCUCCAGAGAUUAUUGUAUAUUGACUGUGCAAUAAGGCUGUUUUUACUUGUAUUUGGAUUGAGAACUCCUUUGUAACUCAAUCAGUAUGGUCUAUAUUCAUAUUAAGAGCCUACCUUUGACAUAAAAAAAUACCCUUUACUAUACUU